rnacentral:rRNA from 1 species
GUGGGGAAUCUUGCGCAAUGGGCGAAAGCCUGACGCAGCCAUGCCGCGUGAAUGAUGAAGGUCUUAGGAUUGUAAAAUUCUUUCACCGGGGACGAUAAUGACGGUACCCGGAGAAGAAGCUCCGGCUAACUUCGUGCCAGCAGCCGCGGUAAUACGAAGGGGGCUAGCGUUGCUCGGAAUUACUGGGCGUAAAGGGCGCGUAGGCGGACAGCUUAGUCAGAGGUGAAAGCCCAGGGCUCAACCUUGGAAUUGCCUUUGAUACUGGCUGUCUUGAGUACGGGAGAGGUGAGUGGAACUCCGAGUGUAGAGGUGAAAUUCGUAGAUAUUCGGAAGAACACCAGUGGCGAAGGCGACUCACUGGCCCAAUACUGACGCUGAGGCGCGAAAGCGUGGGGAGCAAACAGGAUUAGAUACCCUAGUAGUCC